rnacentral:rRNA from 1 species
AUCCUUCGGGGUCUAGUGGCGAACGGGUGAGUAACACGUGAGCAACCUGCCCUUGGCUCUGGGAUAGCCUCCGGAAACGGGGAUUAAUACCGGACAUGACCUGCUCCGGCAUCGGAGCGGGUGGAAAGUUUUUCGGCCAGGGAGGGGCUCGCGGCCUAUCAGCUUGUUGGGGGGGUAACGGCCCACCAAGGCGACGACGGGUAGCCGGCCUGAGAGGGCGACCGGCCACACUGGGACUGAGACACGGCCCAGACUCCUACGGGAGGCAGCAGUGGG